rnacentral:rRNA from 1 species
GACGAACGCUGGCGGCGUGCUUAACACAUGCAAGUCGAACGGAAAGGCCCUGCUUUUGUGGGGUGCUCGAGUGGCGAACGGGUGAGUAACACGUGAGUAACCUGCCCUUGACUUUGGGAUAACUUCAGGAAACUCUGGCUAAUACCGGAUAGGAGCUCCUGCUGCAUGGUGGGGGUUGGAAAGUUUCGGCGGUUGGGGAUGGACUCGCGGCUUAUCAGCUUGUUGGUGGGGUAGUGGCUUACCAAGGCUUUGACGGGUAGCCGGCCUGAGAGGGUGACCGGCCACAUUGGGACUGAGAUACGGCCCAGACUCCUACGGGAGGCAGCAGUGGGGAAUAUUGCACAAUGGGCGGAAGCCUGAUGCAGCAACGCCGCGUGCGGGAUGACGGCCUUCGGGUUGUAAACCGCUUUCGCCUGUGACGAAGCGUGAGUGACGGUAAUGGGUAAAGAAGCACCGGCUAACUACGUG